GCUAUAAUAUUCUACGUAGAAACGUUUACGUUUAAAUGCGCAUUUGUAAUUAAAUUUGAAUUGAAACUAAAGAAAGAGAUAUCGGAAACAUUUAAAGAAAUAAACUAUAUACGAAAAAGCAAUAAAAGGAUACAGCUAGAUCAAAUUAUGAAAGGAAUAAUUAAGAUUGUACUACUUUCAGGCGCUUAUUCACUGCGCAGCAGCUUUGGAAUGCUAUGAAUGUUCGGACUGUACCGUUCCAUUUAGUAGCUACUUUGCUGACACGGUCGAAUGCAACAGUGCAUCCUGUAUGAAAAUGAAUUUAACAACUAAAUUCAACAAGUUAGGAAUAGUGUCUCGAGGAUGCAGCACAUAUGGCUUUGAAGCAGAACGAUGUGAACUAACGGAAGUGUCUGGCACAACAAGCGAGAUAUGUUACUGUAAUGAAGAUGAAUGCAACGGAACCAACGAUAUUAAAACGACAGUCACAUUAAUUGUUGUACUUUCAACUAUUAUGAUUCUAUUAUUUUUCUAACAUUUGAAUGUGUGAUGUGUGUGUAUAAUGUUGAAGUAUUUUGAAGUAUUUUGAUUAUAGAAGAAGUAUAUCUUGCCUACCUUGUUGGGAGAGACAAAGUUGUCCGGGUAGGAGAUCACUGUAUCUUUUAAAUUCAAUAAUUUACGAUAUCUUUGAAAAUGUUCCAGCAAUAUUAACGAUAGGCAAGAAAAGUGAUACAACAUAUUUGCUGUUUUUCCAACACUUGUGAUAGCGUGGCUAAAUAACCUCGAUAGCGUUCGGUUUCCAUUCUACGCUGUUCAUCGGGUUUAGGAAAACCCUUUCUUAUACAAGAAGGCAUGUAAGAACCUUAUAUUCUUGUACAUUUUAAAAACAUGAGUGCUGAAAUAAUAUCGAAAACUACGUAACAUAUUUCUAUAUCAAUAUUUUCAGACAUUGAAAUUGAGUCGUAUUUGUAUUUGAUCAUGUUUCUGUUAAAGUCUUCCUCAACUGGAAUGUGCUAAAUAAUUAAUUGUUAUCUCCUUAGAUGGUUAUGGACGAGAAUGUAAUAUCGCGGGAGAUGAGGCAAUAUUAAAAUGCAUAUGAGGCAUUGGACAUACAUAUUCACAUUAUUUCAUACAUUACAAAAGACAUUAUACAUAACAGUCAUUUUCUUUAGUCUAGUGUGUAAGUUUAUAUGAGCUGAGAGGUAGGAUAAAUUCUGUUUGAGAGGUUUUGUAAUCACAACUACAGGCAAUAGAGUUAAUGUUUGUCCUUCUUUAUCAUCGAAAAAAUACCUAAUCAUGCGUACGUUUUUUGAUAUUUGUUUUAAAAAAAAAUUUAAAAUUCACUUUUGCUAUAUUAUCAUUAGGGAACUAGAAUUACCUGUGAAAUUUGUGCCAUUUUCAGUAUAAUAAAUAUAUAUUCCCA
rnacentral:lncRNA from 1 species